rnacentral:rRNA from 1 species
CCAAUAGCGUAUAUUAAAGUUGUUGCAGUUAAAAAGCUCGUAGUUGAAUUUCGGGAUCAUCAGGUUGGUCGUGCCUCUGGUAUGUACUGAUUUCGAUGGUUCCUCCUUCUUGAAGAACCGUAAUGCCAUUAAUCUGGUGUUGCGGGGAAACAGGACUGUUACUUUGAAAAAAUUAGAGUGUUUAAAGCAGGCAAUCGCUUGAAUACAUUAGCAUGGAAUAAUGAAAUAGGACGUUCGAUCCUAUUUUGUUGGUUUCUAGGAUUGACGUAAUGAUUAAUAGGGAUAGUUGGGGGCAUUAGUAUUCAAUUGUCAGAGGUGAAAUUCUUGGAUUUAUUGAAGACUAACUACUGCGAAAGCAUUUGCCAAGGAUGUUUUCAUUAAUCAAGAACGAAAGUUAGGGGAUCGAAGACGAUCAGAUACCGUCGUAGUCUUAACCAUAAACUAUGCCGACUAGGGAUCGGAUGAUGUUAAUUUUUUAAUGACUCACUCGGCGCCUUACG